CAGGCAAAAAUUGCAUGUCUGGGCCACUGGAAACAUAAAAGCACACCUCUCCUCAACAAGCCACAUGAUUUGAGCUGUUUGGACUCUCAUUCUGACGGCACCCAUUCACUACAGAGGAUCCAUUGAUGAGGAAGUCAUGUAAUGCUAAAUUUUGAUGAAGAAACAACCUCUUCAAAGGCCUGAGAAAAAAACACUUUUAAUGAUCAAACUGAUUCCUGAUGGAAUUGUGUUCUGAAGAUG